rnacentral:rRNA from 1 species
AUUGAACGCUGACGGCAUGCUUUACACAUGCAAGUCGAACGGUAACAGGCCGCAAGGUGCUGACGAGUGGCGAACGGGUGAGUAAUGCAUCGGAACGUGCCCAGUCGUGGGGGAUAACUACUCGAAAGAGUAGCUAAUACCGCAUACGAUCUAUGGAUGAAAGCGGGGGACCGUAAGGCCUCGCGCGAUUGGAGCGGCCGAUGUCAGAUUAGGUAGUUGGUGGGGUAAAGGCUCACCAAGCCAACGAUCUGUAGCUGGUCUGAGAGGACAACCAGCCACACUGGGACUGAGACACGGCCCAGACUCCUACGGGAGGCAGCAGUGGGGAAUUUUGGACAAUGGGCGCAAGCCUGAUCCAGCAAUGCCGCGUGCAGGAAGAAGGCCUUCGGGUUGUAAACUGCUUUUGUACGGAACGAAACGGCUCUGGUUAAUACCCGGGGCUAAUGACGGUACCGUAAGAAUAAGCACCGGCUAACUACGUG